AAGAGGCAAGGUGGAAGGGCAGGAGCCGCUACCUCAUACCUCCACUACUCUCAGGUCCACAGCCUCUCCUCCUGACUCAUCUUCUCCCGAAGAUUCAGUCUCCACUCCCUUGUCUUCUCCCCAAGAUCCAGACCUUCCUUCUUGAGCCUUACUUUCCUGAGUCCCACAGCCUUUCCUAAAUCCUGGCCUCCUCUGUGGCCCAAAGCCUUCUCUUCUCCCCUCAAUGAUCCCAGUUCCUGCAGCUUUCUGGCCUGGAUUACUGGCUUCUCUCCAGCCAACCACUCGGCUACCCCGGCCUGGUGUUCAGCCUUGGGUCACCAUAGGGCCACUGACAUCAUUACCUGAACAACAGGUGUGGCUGCUGGUGAAACCAUGUCAGAGCCAGCUGAUGGCCCCUCACUCGGGCUUUCGCCUCCACAACUGAGCACUGUCACCCUCGAGGACCUGGAGCUUCUCUUAACAGAAGGCCUAGCCAGUCACGAGCCCUCGAGUACCGAAAGCUUGGAGAAAUAUGAGUGCAGUGGACUGGUGUCCAACUCCUUGGUCCCUGAACAGGACACCCCUAAGCAAUGGAAACAGCUGGAGCAGUGGGUAGCUGAGCUGCAGGCUGAGGUGGUUCGCCUGAGGGGACACAAGGAGCGCUGUGAGCAUGCCACAUUGGGCCUGCUUCAAGAGCUGUUGCAGGUCCAUGCCCGAGUGCAGAUGCAGGC
rnacentral:lncRNA from 1 species